AUUGAACGCUGGCGGAACGCUUUACACAUGCAAGUCGAACGGUAGAGGGGGCAACCCCUCGAGAGUGGCGAACGGGUGAGUAAUAUAUCGGAACGUGCCCAGUCGUGGGGGAUAACGUAGCGAAAGUUACGCUAAUACCGCAUACGAUCUAAGGAUGAAAGCGGGGGAUCGCAAGACCUCGCGCGAUUGGAGCAGCCGAUAUCAGAUUAGGUAGUUGGUGGGGUAAAGGCUCACCAAGCCAACGAUCUGUAGCUGGUCUGAGAGGACGACCAGCCACACUGGAACUGAGACACGGUCCAGACUCCUACGGGAGGCAGCAGUGGGGAAUUUUGGACAAUGGACGCAAGUCUGAUCCAGCCAUUCCGCGUGCAGGAUGAAGGCCCUCGGGUUGUAAACUGCUUUUGUACGGAACGAAAAGGUCUCUCUUAAUACGGGGGACUCAUGACGGUACCGUAAGAAUAAGCACCGGCUAACUACGUGCCAGCAGCCGCCGCGG
rnacentral:rRNA from 1 species